CUGAAUGUUAACUUUCUUGUUAUCAGUCAGUAAUAUUUUUCUUUUUUUGUUUUUGAAUUUAUUUAUAGAUCUAACAGUUUCAAUGCAGAUAGAAACACAGAUAAAUUUAACUACACCUUGUGGAAAGGACAGCUUUUAAAUAAAGGAAAGCUUUUGUGUUAUAUUUCUCUGAGGUCAGCCACUCGUGCUUUUUUGCCUAUCAAGCUUCCUGAAAAGUUAGAUGUUGAAACAGUUAUGAGUAUUGAUCAUCUGAAACAGAAAAUCCCUCCAGCGCUGUUUUAUAAGGAAACAUACUUAGGUCCAAGUGAAGUUUUGAAGAAUGGAAUGUAUUGCAGCCUUUAUGAAGUUGUAGAAAAAACAAGAAUUGGAAGUAACAUGGAGAGUUUACUACAAAAACUAGAGAAAGAAAA